rnacentral:rRNA from 1 species
CCAGACUCCUACGGGAGGCAGCAGUGGGGAAUAUUGCACAAUGGGGGAAACCCUGAUGCAGCAACGCCGCGUGAGUGAAGAAGUAUUUCGGUAUGUAAAGCUCUAUCAGCAGGGAAGAAGAUGACGGUACCUGAGUAAGAAGCCCCGGCUAACUACGUGCCAGCAGCCGCGGUAAUACGUAGGGGGCAAGCGUUAUCCGGAUUUACUGGGUGUAAAGGGAGCGUAGACGGUGAGACAAGUCUGAAGUGAAAGCCCGGGGCUCAACCCCGGGACUGCUCUUGGAACUGCGCGGCUGGAGUGCAGGAGGGGCAGGCGGAAUUCCUGGUGUAGCGGUGAAAUGCGUAGAUAUCAGGAGGAACACCGGUGGCGAAGGCGGCCUGCUGGACUGCGACUGACGUUGAGGCCCGAAAGCGUGGGGAGCAAACAGGAUUAGAUACCCCAGUAAUA